CGUAUUAUCGACCUCUGCCCGCACGUCUAUCGCGAAUUGUUCAUAUCUUGCCUGAAGGAUCCCGUAUGAUUGAUUCUACAGUUUGAUCACAACUUGGUUCGUGCGUCGAAAAUAGUAGCAACGAAACGAAUCAAGUUGAGACAUCUUUUGGCGUGCAAGGACGUUAUCAACGUUUCCCAAAUUUUCCUUCCGGAUCUGUUGGGCAACACGAAAAGACGAUGGGAAAACCGUGCCCUCCUCAUCGUGCACGUCUUGUGACGUGUGCAAGUUUGUGCGUGCAAUCGCAUCUGAUGCGACGUGAAACGGAAUUCUAAAAAUACGGACGUUGACAGCCGGCCGACCGGAAGAAUCCACAGAUUCCGUCAGCGGAAUCGAGCGGAAUUAACCCACUAUCUACACAAGGAUAUUAUCUGAAUCAUUCUUUCCGUUUCUUCAAUCGAUAACGGAGGAGUUAAGGAGUCUAUCCAGGACUAAAUCUAUUUAUCUGUAUGUGUCGUAUAAAAUUGCCGUCCAGGGCAAUAGCAGUCUUGCAAUCAAGUUGUUGUGUCCCCAAACUGAUUGGAUACACAACACGGUGGUGUACACGAACCCUACACGCUGACAAUGGAACACAAGCCUCAAAGCUGAUUGUAAGAUUCGCCAUCCAUGAUAACAUUUUCGCCUCGAGAGAUGAUCGAGUUCUACGAGAAAGCUGAGCUGUUGAGCGGCUUGCUUUCUUCAUUAUACGGGCGGGGUUUUCCCCGCUGUAACGCAUGUUCGUGCUAUUGGAUAUACUAAAAAGAAAAAGGACUGAACGUCGAUAAGAAGGGGAAAAGUUUGUCCGGAGGGAGAUGGCAAAGAUUAUCCGCGUGACCAACUAAAGAGAGACAAAGCCCCGGCUUUAUUACUAUAACGUGAAGUGAAAGGGUAACUCGACGACACACAAGAUCCGGGAGAAAAAAGAAAGGAUUACAAGUACAUGUCAUGUAGGAGUCUUCAAGAUAAGCUUUGGAGAUAAAGAAGAGCAAAAAAAAAAAAGCCCAAUAACUUGAACGUCAACGGAGGACAGUCGGUUUAUUGGAUGAAACAGGAUCUCAUUGAUUCGAAACGUCAACACAAGAAAAGGAGGGAAAAAAUCCUAACUUGACGUCAGAUCAAACAAUGGGGAAAAAAACGCGAGGCAAAGGCUAAGUGAAUCAAGAAACAAGAACUAUUGUACCAUACUACACAAGAGCACAAAAUUAAUCAUCCGAGAAGGACCCGUUGUAAUAACAAUUCGAGAAACGACGAGGAAAUUAUUUGGAAUCCUUUGUAUUUUGCAGCAGACGAAAUGAAUUAAUGAUUCAACUUUAAAAACAUCGUCUGAAUGAUGAAAGACGUUCAUUUUCUUUCAUGUUUGUAUUCCUGUAGAGUUAACGAUGUCGUGUAAAAUAGCAAAAAGAGAAUUAAAGUUGAAAAUAAAUGUGGGGUGGCCAUUAGGCAAUCAAGAAGCGUGUUCACCAUGUCGGACCUUGCCGUAGGUGCAUGCUACUUGAGCUGUCACUCUUUUGCACGCUCUCAACUCUCCCCUAUUAAGUGUGUAUACGGAUUCUAAACACAUCCACCGUUGGACCAGACCUGUGUG